ACAUACCUAUACGUUGCCUCGGCGGAUCAGCCCGCGCCCCGUAAAAAGGGACGGCCCGCCCGAGGACCCCUAAACUCUGUUUUUAGUGGAACUUCUGAGUAAAACAAACAAAUAAAUCAAAACUUUCAACAACGGAUCUCUUGGUUCUGGCAUCGAUGAAGAACGCAGCAAAAUGCGAUAAGUAAUGUGAAUUGCAGAAUUCAGUGAAUCAUCGAAUCUUUGAACGCACAUUGCGCCCGCCAGUAUUCUGGCGGGCAUGCCUGUUCGAGCGUCAUUUCAACCCUCAAGCUCUGCUUGGUGUUGGGACUCGCGGUAACCCGCGUUCCCCAAAUCGAUUGGCGGUCACGUCGAGCUUCCAUAGCGUAGUAAUCAUACACCUCGUUACUGGUAAUCGUCGCGGCCACGCCGUAAAACCCCAACUUCUGAAUGUUGACCUCGGAUCAGGUAGGAAUACCCGCUGAACUUAAGCAUAUCAAUAAGCCGGGAGGAA
rnacentral:rRNA from 1 species